rnacentral:misc_RNA from 1 species
GAUGAAGAACGUAGCGAAAUGCGAUACGUAAUGUGAAUUGCAGAAUUCAGUGAAUCAUCGAGUCUUUGAACGCACAUUGCGCCCCCUGGUAUUCCGGGGGGCAUGCCUGUCCGAGCGUCAUUGCUGCCCUCAAGCACGGCUUGUGUGUUGGGCCUCCGUCCUCCUCCCGGGGGACGGGCCCGAAAGGCAGCGGCGGCACCGCGUCCGGUCCUCGAGCGUAUGGGGCUUCGUCACCCGCUCUUGUAGGCCCGGCCGGCGCUUGCCGACACAUCAAUCUUUUUUCCAGGUUGACCUCGGAUCAGGUAGGGAUACCCGCUGAACUUAAGCAUAUCAAUAAGCGGAGGC